rnacentral:rRNA from 1 species
UAGCUAGUUGGUGAGGUAAAGGCUUACCAAGGCGACGAUCUGUAGCGGGUCUGAGUGGAUGAUCCGCCACACUGGAACUGAGACACGGUCCAGACUCCUACGGGAGGCAGCAGUGGGGAAUUUUGGACAAUGGGGGCAACCCUGAUCCAGCCAUGCCGCGUGAGUGAAGAAGGCCUUCGGGUUGUAAAGCUCUUUCGGCCGGGAAGAAAUCGCAUGGGCCAAUACCCUGUGUGGAUGACGGUACCGGAAUAAGAAGCACCGGCUAACUACGUGCCAGCAGCCGCGGUAAUACGUAGGGUGCGAGCGUUAAUCGGAAUUACUGGGCGUAAAGCGUGCGCAGGCGGUUUUGUAAGACAGGCGUGAAAUCCCCGGGCUUAACCUGGGAACUGCGUUUGUGACUGCAAGGCUAGAGUACGGCAGAGGGGGGUGGAAUUCCAUGUGUAGCAGUGAAAUGCGUAGAGAUGUGGAGGAACACCAAUGGCGAAGGCAGCCCCCUGGGUCGAUACUGACGCUCAUGCACGAAAGCGUGGGUAGCAAACAGGAUUAGAUACCCUGGUAGUCCACGCCCUAAACUAUGUCAACUAGGUGUUGGGUGGGUAAAACCAUUUAGUACCGUAGCUAACGCGUGGAGUUGACCGCCUGGGGAGUACGGCCGCAAGGUUAAAACUCAAAGGAAUUGACGGGGACCCGCACAAGCGGUGGAUGAUGUGGAUUAAUUCGAUGCAACGCGAAAAACCUUACCUACCCUUGACAUGCCAGGAACUUGCCAGAGAUGGCUUGGUGCCCGAAAGGGAGCCUGGACACAGGUGCUGCAUGGCUGUCGUCAGCUCGUGUCGUGAGAUGUUGGGUUAAGUCCCGCAACGAGCGCAACCCUUGUCGUUAAUUGCCAUCAUUUAGUUGGGCACUUUAACGAGACUGCCGGUGACAAACCGGAGGAAGGUGGGGAUGACGUCAAGUCCUCAUGGCCCUUAUGGGUAGGGCUUCACACGUCAUACAAUGGUCGGUACAAAGGGUUGCCAAGCCGCGAGGCGGAGCCAAUCCCAGAAAGCCGAUCGUAGUCCGGAUUGCAGGCUGCAACUCGCCUGCAUGAAGUCGGAAUCGCUAGUAAUCGUGGAUCAGCAUGUCACGGUGAAUACGUUCCCGGGUCUUGUACACACCGCCCGUCACACCAUGGGAGCGGGUUCCGCCAGAAGUAGGUAGCCUAACCGCAAGGGGGGCGCUUACCACGGCGGGGUUCGUGACUGGGGUGAAGUCGUAACAAGGUAGCCGUAGGGGAACCUGCGGCUG